rnacentral:rRNA from 1 species
GACGUAGGUGGCGACCGUUAUCCGGAAUCAUUGGGCGUAAAGGGUGCGUAGAUGGCCUGAUAAGUUAGCAGUGGGAAAUCGAGGCUCAACCUCGUGGAAGCUGGUAAUACUGUUAGGCUCGAGUGCAGGAGAAGUUAACGGAACUCCAUGUGGAGCGGUAAAAUGUGUAGAUAUAUGGAAGAACAUCAAUAACGGCGAAGGCAGUUAACUAGUCUGUUACUGACGUUGAGGCACGAAAGCGUGGGGAGCAAAACGG